rnacentral:lncRNA from 1 species
AGGCCGCCGGGUUUGUGACCGUCGCUUGUGGCCCUCCUGUCCUCGUCCAGCACUCGCCGGGUGGAGACCGCACGAGAGACUGGGCUGGAAGCACCGCGAGUGGCCCUAGGAAAUGCUAUGGAGGGGUCAGAGAGCACGGUGCUUUGCACAGUUAGGGAUGAGUAAGUCAGCCCUGUGUCCUUGGGCCAGAACCCCGAGUCCUUUCCGAAGAAAGGGCCCGUCACGUUUUCAGAAACCAUUGAGGCGCCCCGAGCGUGCUCAUCUGUUUCGCCGCUCUCUGCUCGCUGGGUGGUGUAGGUUGCAGCGAUCAUUGGAAUGUUUUAUUUAGAAUUCCCCCUUCGGCCCGAUUGAGCCUUUACCCAGACUUUUGUGGGAAAAAAAACGACUGAUGCUUUGGUAGGUUGCAGGAACAGGUUCAGAAUUUCUGGGGAGCGUUUCAAAAUGCAGACCUGAGCCCUACUUCUCAGCGAUUCGGUCCGCCUAGGGAUGGGACCGGGUAAUCUGCAUUUCAGCGAGUGUAGCCAGUGGCUAACCACCUUAAUCCAAUGAACAUGAUUACCUUGCUUCUGAAUCACAAAAAGUUGACUCCCUGAUACCAGGUGGUAUGGAUUUGAUGAUUAGUGAUUCACAGUUGAACGAAUUUUUCCUUUCUUAACUGAGUAAUUCAAAGGAGAAUUUGUGCCCGGUGUGUAUGGGGAGGUUAACCUGAUGGAGUUAAAAACUUCUAAACACUAGGACAAGCUUUAAGAUAAUCUUAAAACAACCGAUAUUAAAAAUGGCAGUUUAGGAGCUCCCAGGUGGCCACAGUUGGUUAAGGAUCCUGCGUUGUCACUGCAGUUCCUCCGGUUGCUGCUGUGGCACAGGUUCAAUCCCAGGUUGGGAAUUUCCACAUGCCAGAGGCGGGCCUGAAAAAAAUACUCAUUUUUUAAAAUGGCACUUGAAGUCAUAGUGCUGUCUGAUCAGCUUUUUUAUGGCCUUAGCUAUGAAAAUCCUUUGUAUAUUCAAAACGGAGUCAGAAAUCUAAACUAGAGAAAAUAAAGCGAGAAAACUUGGGUAGGUGCAGAUUUCACUCAAUUAAGAUUAAUAUUUUUGUUUAUGAAUACUUAUCCAGUGUAAAUGUGUUAAAAGUGUGAGGUCUCCAGGGAAAAACUGAUGAGGAUUGCUGUAUUGCUUUUUAGGAUACUUGUAAGAGUUGCUAUUUUCUCAAAAAACAAUGUUGCUUCCAUUAUUAAAUAUGAGUCAAGUUUAUUACAGAAAAGAUAGUUUGUAUUAUUAGGCUAUGGGGAUUACUCUCCUAAAGACAAAAGUCAAAAUAACUGUGCUAUGAAAAUGUUACAAAAUAUGGAGGAAAAACCCCUCUUUUUAAAAGUAUAUCUUUGUUUAGGAAUAGUUUUAUCCCCUUCCUCCAUGUUAUCCUGGGGCCAUUUGAAACUUCCCAGUCAUGUGAGGUUUUCUGAGUAUCUUCAUAAACACAGGUUUCUACAUAAGUAAUGUGCCACCUGAUCGACCCAACUUGUUUUCAGGAAAUGUUCCAGGUUUUUAUUUUCCUUUGGCUUCCACUUUUCUCUUAUUCUUUUGUAAUUUUUAAAACGUGCACUAUGUUGAAAUCAUGAAAAAUUUCUAAUCGUAUGAAAAGAAAAUUUUGGUUUUGACUCCUGGUUAUUUAGUGAGUGGUCAGGAAAUUCUGAUUCUGCUAAUAUUUACAUUCUGCUAAUAUUUAUAUAGGAGUCUCUAAAACAAAUACCUGAAGGGACUCACCCCCCACCCCCCACAAACACACACAAAAAUAGCAACCAAGUUGCCGUCUUAGCUCAGUGAUGGCAAAAGAGUAACUUACAUAAUAUCAUUUCCUAUGUCCUCCCAAUGUCUAUGGCAAGUAUGGAUAACAGGCUCCCAGACUUUACUGAUGAACUUCAACAAGCCUAAGAAUCAUUUACUCAACACCCAACAUGGCCUUUGUCAAUAGACAGAGUAGGCAAGAAAGGGGAAGUCUGCAGCCCUCCUUGGUUUAUGGUUUAUGGUCCAAUCAAUGCCCAUGAAUUGCCUUCAUCUCUCAGUGGACUUCAGUCUGCUUCAUUAAGAGCUAAAAUAUUUAUAUUAUGUUUAUUUCUUAAGAGCCCCAUUCUGGAGUUCCUGUCAUGGCUCAGUGGUUAAUGAAUCUGACUAGCAACCAUGAAGAUGUGGAUUCAAUCCUUGGCCUUGUUCAGUGGGUUAAGGAUCCAACGUUGCCAUGAGCUGUGGUGUAGGGCACAGUCUCGGCUCAGAUCCUGCAUUGCCAUGGAUCACGGAUGUGGUAAUAGGAUGGCAGCUACAGCUCCAAUUCGACCCCUAGCCUGGGAACCUCCAUAUGCCACUGGUGGGGCCCUAAAAAGACAAACAACAACAACAACCAAAAAAAGCUCCUUUCUGACCCAUAAGAAGUAUUGGAAGUCACUGAGGAGGAUACAUGUUCCCAAACUUUUAGUUGCUUCAUGAUCUGGCCCUUGACUGAUAACCACAAUGAACUUUUUUUAGUUUCUAGACCUUCGUAAACCUUCUUCUAGCACCCCCACCUUUAUCCAGUUAAUAUGUAUACCUCACAUAGCUCUUAGUCUCAGGAAAGUAUUUUCUGACACUCUGAACCCCAUUAAGUUAUAUCCAUCAUACUAAUAGUUAGUUGUAGUAUUUUAUUAAAUGCAAAAUGAGAGAUUGAUAAUUUUGCGUUAACGGAGGAUUGAACUAGGAAUCUUAACAUUUUUCUACUGGAUUAAUAAUAUUGGGUGUUGGCUCUUUGCUGAAUCUUCACAGAAAUCUCGAGAUAGGUUCUUUCCGUAUCAGUGGUGAGAGAACUGAGGCUUAGAGAGGUAAGUGUAAAAGUAGUCACAAACAACCUUAUCCUCUCUCCCUCAAGUCUAUCCAUCUAUAUGUAUCUGAGCCUAUAGAUAUUGCCUUCUGUCCUGUUACACAGAAGUAUUUCCUCUGGUUAUUUCAUUCAAGACCUUGAUUCUUCCAUUCUUGUUUCCCUCAAAUAACUAUCCUCCCCAACCCUUUCAACCAGAUCAUUCUGCUAGUACACCGAAUAUGCCUUGGUAUCAUGUAUCUUAGAACAAAACGCAACAGAAAACCUCUUGACUUCUGUUCCCCUCCAGCCACUACUUGAUUGUUGUGCUCCUCUUUAUAGUAGAUGUUCUCCAAAAAUUGUUUAAAACUCCAUCUUGACAAAUCCAAAGGCAAAUUCUUAGUUUCAUUUUAGGCAGUACUUGACAUCUUGACCACUUCCACAUUUUGAAACACUGUCUUCUCUAAGCUUCCAGAACACCUCACUCACUGGUUUCCUCUUACUUAACUGGCAUCUCUUCAGUCUACUUUGCUUUAUCUUCUUCCUCUGACUUCUAAAUAUUAGAGAUGCUCACAUCUUAGUCCCAUGUUUUUUUCUAUCUCUAUUCUCCCUAAAUGGUUUCAUCCAAUCCCAUGGCUGUAAAUAUUAUCUUUGUUUUGAUAAGUCCCAAGAUUAUAAUUCUAACCCUAACUUUUUGAACACUUGACUGAAUAUUCUUUUUGCAUUCUUAUGGAAAACUUAAGGUACAUAAAAAUAAUAUAUUGAACCUCAGUAAGUUUUUCACUCAAGCAUCAAGUUACUAAAUUAAUAAUAGAUUAAUUAUUCUUAAUAUGGUAGGUGAUUAUUUUUCAUUUUUGAAGUUGAUAUAUUCAUAGACCUUUAUUCCGUAUAUUUUGUGUUUUGCUCAAUUAUUUAACUUUUUAUUGGGACUGAUUGUGGAGGUUAUUUUGGGAAGCUUUUGUAUCUUUAUUCAUUAUUGUACGAGUCUGCAUCAAAUCAGUUGCAGGAAAUAGAUCUGGCUCUUUUAAAUAUAUGGAGAUUUAAUGUAGGGAAUUGGUAUUUAGAAAAUUGUUUAAAGUGGUGGAGGAGUAGGCUUUAGCCUAGACUUUCAGAAAUGAGUCCCAGGAUAAUACUACUAAGUUGGGCUGUUAAGGGAACUACUAUCACUGUCCCCAUCCAUCAGGAUGAUGGAGAAUCAAAACCACAACUGGGGAAUUCCUGUCAUGGCUCAGUGAUUAACGAAUCUGACUAGAAACCAUGAGGUUGCGAGUUUGAUCCCUGGCCUUGCUCAGUGGGUUAAGGAUCUGGCGUUGCUGUGAGCUGUGGUGUAGGUUGCAGACGCAGCUCAGAUCCCGAGUUGCUGUGGCUGUGGUGUAGGCCGGUAGCUACAGCUCCGAUUAAACGCCUAGCCUGGGAACCUCCAUAUGCCAUGGGUGCGGCCCUAGAAAAGGCAAAAAGACAAAAAACAAAACAAACAAAAAAAACACAACUGGAGUUAAUGAUGUUAAAAAUAUACUACUAUGGCUACAAUUCAAGAAUCAAGAAGAUACCAUAACAAGCACUCAAAGCAAAUGGUAAUGCUUUGGCAAGCUGCUGCAGAAAAUACCAAACUACCAAAAAUCCAGAGUAGCAGAAAAAAUGCUUUUACCCCACUUCCCAAUCUGACUUAAAUGUAUCUAAUUAACUGAAAUCAUGUGCCACUAGAACCCUAUUUACAUGUCUGGAAAUGCAGUACUUUCCAGGAUUGAUAGGAUAAGGAAACAAACUUGAAGAAAGUUUGAAUGGAUGCUCAGUACCAAUCCACCUUAUACAUCCAAAUCUUUGCAUCCACCAACAUAGUGCAUCUAUUUUUUUUUAAAUCAUUUAUUUAUUAUUUUGCUUUUUAGGCCAAACACGUGGCAUAUGGAAGCUCCUAGGCUAGGGGUUGAAUCAGAGCUACAGCUGCUGGCCUAGGCCAUAGCCACAGCAAUGCAGGAUCCAAGCCACGUCUACGACCUACACCAAAGCUCACAGCAACACCAGAUCCCAGCCCACUGACUGAGGCCAGGGAUUGAACCCUCUUGCUCACGGAUACUAGUAGGAUUCGUUUCUGUUGCACCAAAAUGGGAACUCUCUUUUUGGUAUUUCAACAGAGAAAAGUUUGUGAAGAUCUUGUUCUUUAUUAGCUGCAUUCCCAGAUACAUUGUAGUCUUUAUUUUUUAAUCUCUAUUUUAGAUAUUGUAAAUAUCUUCCAAUCUAUUAUAUUUGUCUCUAGGACCCUUGUUGAACAAAAUCAUUAAUAUUUGACCCCAAGGUGAUCCAGCCAUCAAUUUACAGAAAAUAUGAGUGCCAGAAAAAAAUGUUACAUUAUUCCACAGAAUGCAGUCAACAAACUUCAGGUUAUAGGAAAUGACAGGGCAAUUAACCUAGUAUUUCAAGAAAAAAAAUUUAGGGGAAAAAAGGGAGGAGAGAGGAGAUUCUUUAGAAAAAAAACAGACCUGGAGUUGCCGUCGUGGCUCAGCAGAAAUGAAUCUGACUAGGAACCAUGAGGUUUCAGGUUCGAUCCCUGGCCUCGCUUAGUGGGUUAAGGAUCCAGCAUUGCGGUGAACUGUGGUAUAGGUCGCAGAUGUGGCUCGGAUCUGGCAUUGCUGUGGCUGUGGUAUAGGCCGAUGGCUAUAGCUCUGAUUAGACCCCAAACCUGGGAAUCUCCAUAUGCCUUGGGUGUGACCCUCAAAAGACAAAAAGACCAAAAAAAAAAAAGAAAAAGAAGAAAGAAAAAAGAGACCUAAAAACAUAUAUUAAAAAAAGGUAGGAGUUCCCGUCGUGGCGCAGGGGUUAACGAAUCCGGCUAGGAACCAUGAGGUUUCGGGUUUGGUCCCUGCCCUUGCUCAGUGGGUUAACGAUCCGGCGUUGCCCUGAGCUGUGGUGUAGGUUGCAGAUGCGGCUUGGAUCCCGCGUUGCUGUGUCUCUGGCAUAGGCCGGUGGCUGCAGCUCCGAUUCGACCCCUAGCCUGGGAACCUCCAUAUGCCG